rnacentral:rRNA from 1 species
CACUCCUGCGGGAGGCAGCAGUGGGGAAUAUUGGACAAUGGGCGCAAGCCUGAUCCAGCCAUGCCGCGUGAGUGAUGAAGGCCCUAGGGUUGUAAAGCUCUUUCACCGGUGAAGAUAAUGACGGUAACCGGAGAAGAAGCCCCGGCUAACUUCGUGCCAGCAGCCGCGGUAAUACGAAGGGGGCUAGCGUUGUUCGGAUUUACUGGGCGUAAAGCGCACGUAGGCGGACUAUUAAGUCAGGGGUGAAAUCCCGGGGCUCAACCCCGGAACUGCCUUUGAUACUGGUAGUCUUGAGUUCGAGAGAGGUGAGUGGAAUUCCGAGUGUAGAGGUGAAAUUCGUAGAUAUUCGGAGGAACACCAGUGGCGAAGGCGGCUCACUGGCUCGAUACUGACGCUGAGGUGCGAAAGCGUGGGGAGCAAACAGGAUUAGAUACCCGUGUAGUCCC